UACGGGGGGGGCAAGCGUUGUUCGGAAUUACUGGGCGUAAAGGGCUCGUAGGUGGCCAACUAAGUCAGACGUGAAAUCCCCAGGCUCAACUUGGGAACUGCGUCUGAUACUGGAUGGCUUGAAUUCGGGAGAGGGAUGCAGAAUUCCAGGUGUAGCGGUGAAAUGCGUAGAGAUCCGGAGGAACACCAGUGGCGAAGGCGACACGCUGGGCCGUACCUGACGCUAAAACGCGACAGCAUGGGGAGCGAACGGG
rnacentral:rRNA from 1 species